rnacentral:lncRNA from 1 species
AUCCACUUUUACAUAAAGAAUGCAGUUAACGACCGCACCCUUCUGAUUGGAGUCCGAUCGGGAACUGGAGUUAGAAAAGGAUUUCAUACUACGACCAACGACCGAACCAUCCUCGAUGAAACCUGGGCAGCGGCCGCACCCUCCCCGAAAGAGGAGUUAGGGGCGGACUUCAGAUUUUUGUCCACCAACGAAAGUGACUUUGAUCAUGCAGCUG